UCCAGCAUACUGCUAUAACCCGACUUUUGGUUUUCUUUUGUUUCCUACUUGUAUUUUCCCUUGCUGAUGAACUUUAUCAAUAUUUUUAAAAAUCCUGUUGUAAUACAUGAAUUUACAUGACCCACGUCACAUCCUCUUUAGAAGUAGACAGUCUAUGUAACUGACCACACUACUACCUUAGUUAUUUAUUAGCAGAGGAAGGCAGUACAAACAAUGAAUAUUACUCCCUGUUGAAAACACUGUCUCUGACCAUUUUAGAGCACAUGAAGGAAGAGUGGACUCAAGCUCGGCCUGGCUUACCAGGUUUCUUGACUGUGAUGAUCUACAAGAGCAGGUCUGCGUCUUACAUACACUGAAAAUGAAGAAUUCAGAACUCAAUUCUAAACUUAAGCCAAGGUGCAAAAGAAGGAAGAAAAGAUCAAGGAACUCAGAACAGAAUUCCAGCAAAACUGAACCCAGCAGACUUUCUGAGGACUUCAAGCCUGGGAGGAAGCCUCUUAUAUACCUCUGAGGGACUGUUCCAAAGAGCACCUCUCCCGUCUCCUGAGGAUGUGGUAGUGGGGCUGAAAAGUCCCUAACUCUUAAUCAUAGCUUGGUCUUUCUAGUGACCAGCCCCUAUCCAGGAGCUAUUGAAGAGCCCACCCAGAGUUACUUCAUCAGAACAAAAGAUGUUCCUAGGGCUGUUAUCAGUUAAAAAUUUAUAAGGGUUUUAGGAGUCCUGUGCCAGACUGAGGGCAGAGACUAAUAUAUAUUUUCUAUUACCUUACACUACCUUUCAAAGAAACACAUUUAGAAGAAAUCCAUAGGUUCUACAUCAAUGCCAGGGCAGCACAACUGGGCCAGGCAGAGAUAAUGGGACACAAAAAGGAUUUUUUUUUUUUUGGUCUUUUUAGGGCAGCACCCACAGCAUAUGGAAGUUCCCAGGCUAGGG